UACGGAGGGUGCAAGCGUUAUCCGGAUUCACUGGGCUUAAAGGGUGCGUAGGCGGGCAGGUAAGUCAGUGGUGAAAUCUCCGAGCUUAACUCGGAAACUGCCAUUGAUACUAUUUGUCUUGAAUAUUGUGGAGGUAAGCGGAAUAUGUCAUGUAGCGGUGAAAUGCUUAGAUAUGACAUAGAACACCAAUUGCGAAGGCAGCUUACUAUGGUUUUAUUGACACUGAGGCACGAAAGCGUGGGGAUCAAACAGG
rnacentral:rRNA from 1 species